UACGUAGGGCGCGAGCGUUAUCCGGAAUUAUUGGGCGUAAAGAGCUCGUAGGCGGUUUGUCGCGUCUGCUGUGAAAACUGGAGGCUCAACCUCCAGCCUGCAGUGGGUACGGGCAGACUCGAGUGCGGUAGGGGAGAUUGGAAUUCCUGGUGUAGCGGUGGAAUGCGCAGAUAUCAGGAGGAACACCGAUGGCGAAGGCAGAUCUCUGGGCCGAUAUUGACGCUGAGGAGCGAAAGCGUGGGGAGCGAACAGG
rnacentral:rRNA from 1 species